rnacentral:snRNA from 1 species
GUGCUCACUUCAGCAGCACAUAUACUAAAACUGGAACAAUACAGAGAAAGAUUAGCAUGGAUCCUGCACAAGGAUGACAUGCAAAUUCUUGAAGAAUUUCAUAUUUUA